rnacentral:rRNA from 1 species
GGGGAAUUUUGGACAAUGGGGGCAACCCUGAUCCAGCCAUUCCGCGUGAGUGAAGAAGGCCUUCGGGUUGUAAAGCUCUUUUGUCCGGAACGAAACGGAUACGUCUAAUACGCGUGUCUACUGACGGUGUCGGAAGAAUAAGCACCGGCUAACUACGUGCCAGCAGCCGCGGUAAUACGUAGGGGGCAAGCGUUGUCCGGAUUUAUUGGGCGUAAAGAGCGUGUAGGCGGCUUUACAGGUCCGUUGUGAAAACUCGAGGCUCAACCUCGAGACGCCGGUGGAAACCGUAAAGCUAGAGUCCGGAAGAGGAGAGUGGAAUUCCUGGUGUAGCGGUGAAAUGCGCAGAUAUCAGGAAGAACACCCGUGGCGAAGGCGGCUCUCUGGGACGGUACUGACGCUGAGACGCGAAAGCGUGGGGAGCGAAC